rnacentral:lncRNA from 1 species
UUACUUGUUUGAAGCAUAUCUCCAUCGGGAUGAGAUUUGUGAAUGAUUUAUUACAUGUAAUAAUAUUACAUAUAAGCCUACACGUAGCCAACUUUAUUUAAGAACAAAAUCGGUCUUUGCUCCCAUAGACACACAGAAGCAUGGUAUUUUUGAGGUGAAUGGAAACCUUCAGGUGCUCUAUAUGAAGGAGAAACCCCUUCCCUUUGAGACCAAAUCUAGAAGAGUAUGUCCUUGUUUCUACAUGUUUUCCAAGAAAAGCCUUUAUUGGAGGAUGCUUUUCUUGAUGGAAAGAAGGUAAACAGUUUGUAAUUUCCUUAAUUUGUGCUGGUAAAUCAAUCCAUAACUUGAUGGAUUUGAAACUUUUUUGUCAAGGCUCAUUUCAAGGUACUAU